CUCAUCAAGCUGAGGCAAACUGGACAGUGCUUUUAGACCUUGGCAAAGGACGAGAAUCUCCUGGAGAGCCCACUCUGUUUUCUGGUUUGUUGCCAGCUUGUGCACUUGUUCGUAGUCAUCAUUCUCUGAAAUUUCAAAAUCGAAUUUGAACCGAUUCAAACGAUAUUGAAAAGAACCUUGCAGUGAAUCAAUCCAGUAUCGCUUUCUGAGGCUUACUUCGGUAACUAUCGUGAUUUACCUCUAGCUUUCAUAGAAAAUGGCGAAUCUGGAAACUGACAGCCCUGUCGUAUGGCCGAAAUGGUGUUACAAUAGUCGACCGAAGAAAGAAAAUGGCAUUCCUGACACGGGCGUCAAAGCUCCGUUGCCAAACAAAGCUCGCCGG